rnacentral:rRNA from 1 species
AUUGAACGCUGGCGGCAUGCUUUACACAUGCAAGUCGAACGGUAACAGGCCUUCGGUUGCUGACGAGUGGCGAACGGGUGAGUAAUGCAUCGGAACGUACCCAGAGGUGGGGGAUAACGCAGCGAAAGCUGUGCUAAUACCUCAUGUGAGCUGAGGAUGAAAGCGGGGGACCGAGCAGCAAUGUUUGGCCUCGCGCCUUUGGAGCGGCCGAUGUCGGAUUAGCUAGUUGGUGGGGUAAAGGCCUACCAAGGCGACGAUCCGUAGCUGGUCUGAGAGGACGACCAGCCACACUGGGACUGAGACACGGCCCAGACUCCUACGGGAGGCAGCAGUGGGGAAUUUUGGACAAUGGGCGCAAGCCUGAUCCAGCAAUGCCGCGUGAGGGAAGAAGGCCUUCGGGUUGUAAACCGCUUUUGGCAGGAACGAAACGGUGUCCGCUAAUACCGGGCGCUAAUGACGGUACCUACAGAAUAAGCACCGGCUAACUACGUG